rnacentral:rRNA from 1 species
UACGUAGGGGGGCAAGCGUUGUCCGGAAUCAUUGGGCGUAAAGAGCGUGUAGGCGGCUUUACAGGUCCGUUGUGAAAACUCGAGGCUCAACCUCGAGACGCCGGUGGAAACCGUAAGGCUAGAGUCCGGAAGAGGAGAGUGGAAUUCCUGGUGUAGCGGUGAAAUGCGCAGAUAUCAGGAGGAACACCGGUGGCGAAGGCGGGUCUCUGGGCAGUAACUGACGCUGAGGAGCGAAAGCGUGGGGAGCGAACAGG